UACGAAGGGGGCUAGCGUUGCUCGGAAUGACUGGGCGUAAAGGGCGCGUAGGCGGUUUGCACAGUCAGAUGUGAAAUUCCUGGGCUCAACCUGGGGGCUGCAUUUGAUACGUGUAGACUUGAGUGGGGAAGAGGGUAGUGGAAUUCCCAGUGUAGAGGUGAAAUUCGUAGAUAUUGGGAAGAACACCGGUGGCGAAGGCGGCGACCUGGUCCUUGACUGACGCUGAGGCGCGAAAGCGUGGGGAGCAAACAGG
rnacentral:rRNA from 1 species